UACGAAGGGAGCUAGCGUUGUUCGGAAUUACUGGGCGUAAAGGGCGCGUAGGCGGCACUAUAAGUCAGAUGUGAAAGCCCUGGGCUCAACCUAGGAGGUGCAUAUGAUACUGUAGUGCUAGAGAUCGAGAGAGGAAAGUGGAAUUACGAGUGUAGAGGUGAAAUUCGUAGAUAUUCGUAAGAACACCAGUGGCGAAGGCGACUUUCUGGCUCGAUACUGACGCUAAGGCGCGAAAGCGUGGGGAGCAAACAGG
rnacentral:rRNA from 1 species